UAGGCAGAAGCCCGUAGAUUUAGGUGCCUAGCUGUUAACUAGGAGAGUCGUGGGAUCAAAGCCCGCCUGCCUAG
rnacentral:tRNA from 1 species